CGCCCAGCUUGGCCAGGUUGAAGCGGGCGUUGCGGGCGACCAGCGGGUCGAAGGUCCAGCGCAUGGUGCGGGCGCCGAGACCGAGCGCCCA
rnacentral:tRNA from 1 species